UAGAAUUCCAAAGGUAGGCUCCGUCAUACAUGAAACUCUUUUUCAUGCUAUUUGUACGCGGUUUAGGUAAGCAAAGACUACUCGAAAUAUCCCGAAGAUUGUAGUUUGUCAUCUCACCUUUAUAUGUGAAAAGAUUAGUGAGUGACUCCGGACCCAUUUUAUUUAAUAUUUUGUACAUUAAUUUUGCUUUAGCUUUUUGUCUUUCCGUUUUGAGUGGCACCCAGCUCAAUGCUUGUAAAGC